UACGGGGGGGGCAAGCGUUGUUCGGAAUUACUGGGCGUAAAGGGCUCGUAGGUGGCCAACUAAGUCAGACGUGAAAUCCCUCGGCUCAACCGAGGAACUGCGACGGAUACUGCUUGGCUUGAGUCCCGGAGAGGGUAGCGGAAUUCCCAGUGUAGCGGUGAAAUGCGUAGAGAUCAGGAGGAACACCCGUGGCGAAGGCGGCCCCCUGGGUCGGCCCUGACGCUGAGGCGCGAAAGCGUGGGGAGCGAACGGG
rnacentral:rRNA from 1 species